GAAAUGCGAUAAGUAAUGUGAAUUGCUGAAUUCAGUGAAUCAUCGAAUCUUUGAACGCACAUUGCGCCCGCCAGUAUUCUGGCGGGCAUGCCUGUUCGAGCGUCAUUUCAACCAUCAAGCCCCCGGCUUGUGUUGGGGACCUGCGGCUGCCCGCAGGCCCUGAAAAACAGUGGCGGGCUCGCUGUCACACCGAGCGUAGUAGCAUACAUUCUCGCUCAGGGCGUGCUGCGGGUUCCGGCCGUUAAACGACCUUCAUAACCCAAGGUUGACCUCGGAUCAGGUAGGAAGACCCGCUGAACUUAAGC
rnacentral:misc_RNA from 1 species